rnacentral:rRNA from 1 species
AUACGGAGGGUGCAAGCGUUAAUCGGAAUUACUGGGCGUAAAGCGCGCGUAGGCGGUUUAGUAAGUCGGAUGUGAAAGCCCUGGGCUCAACCUGGGAAUUGCAUUCGAUACUGCUUGACUCGAGUAUGGUAGAGGGAAGUGGAAUUUCCGGUGUAGCGGUGAAAUGCGUAGAUAUCGGAAGGAACACCAGUGGCGAAGGCGACUUCCUGGGCCAAUACUGACGCUGAGGUGCGAAAGCGUGGGGAGCAAACAGGAUCAGAUACCCCAGUAGUCC